AUGUUUAAAAACUAUGAACGCUAUAAAGCUGCAUUUUAUGCAUUUGUUAGUUUUAGUAAUUCCACAGCCAAUGUCUUUGUUCUCUAAGAAUAUACAAUUCAUUUAUUGAUUAAACUACUCGUGAAUAUAAUCAGAUUUAGCAGGAAAUUUCUUCGAGACAAUUAUUUAAAAACAAAUAACCUAGAGUCGUAUCCAUAUAAAGUGUACCUCGUUGUGGCCACCUCUGAAAUA